rnacentral:lncRNA from 1 species
AUAAUUUUACCAAAAUAUUGCUACCUUAUCUUGAUUUUAACACUUCCAUUUUUUAAUGGUUGUUGUUUGUUCUUGGUUUGUAGAUGUGAAAAGGGAGCUAAGGGAUUAUUGUCCCCCUCUUCUGAAUCUUGCUUGAGCCGGAUGAUAAAAAUUAUCAUGUCCGGUUCCUUCGGGGGAUGGAUCUAUAAGAAUUCACCUAUCCCAAUAACAAAAAAAACCUGAUUUGAAUGAUCCUGUAUUAAGAGCUAAAUUGGCUAAAGGUAUGGGUCAUAAUUAUUACGGAGAACCCGCAUGGCCCAAUGAUCUUUUAUAUAUUUUUCCAGUAGUAAUUUUAGGUACUAUUGCAUGUAAUGUAGGCUUAGUGGUUCUAGAACCAUCAAUGAUUGGUGAACCGGCAGAUCCGUUUGCAACCCCUUUGGAAAUAUUACCUGAAUGGUAUUUCUUCCCCGUAUUUCAAAUACUUCCAUUUUUCACUUCGCGGCGGAAAUAUAUCAUAUUUGGAACAUAUUUUCCUACGACAUUUAGAAUUUCUGUCAAUCUCAAUGGUAAAUUGGUAGUCCAACGGUUAUUUGGGAUUCUA